UCGUAAUUAUCGAUGAAAACUAAAGUUAUCUUGGAAUUUUAUGUGUGAAAGCGUAUAUUUUACUCGUUUCAACAGCUAUCAAACCUAUUUUCU